GUGUUGUGUGAAAGGAGAAAAGGCUAGUACUCCUCUUGACAAGGAUGGACGAUGUCCUUAUACAUACAUGGUUGAAGCAUUGCCACCUACUUAGUGGAAUCUCUAAAUGUCUAA
ensembl:snRNA U6atac minor spliceosomal RNA